GUUAAGAAGGAGUUGAAGUUUGUGCAGGUACAAGUAUGUACUAACCAUCAGCAGUGGCGACAGGCUGUGGUGUGAACGUGAGGCUGCGCUGUGUGUUUGGACUGGUAGCUUGAAGUACACGCCACAGUGCCCAGGCUAAUGCUGCAGGCAUCCAGAGACGCAGUAGCCUUUGCUCCUCUUGCCGUCGGGAUUCUAACCUGCAAGCAAAGCCCUUUUAUUUUGCCAUACAUCUCUAUAUCUAAACGCAGUUUACCUAUUCUGAAGUGGGAAAAGGGGUGGACAUAUAAAUGAAACUGCACAAAUCUGAUCAGGGAAGGAUCCCUUUUUCCCUCUGAAAGAGUUGCUGAUUGGAAUAAAUCAAAUUGAAUGGUGUGAAAACCAAACUACAUAUGUGAAGUAAAACUUUACAGUGAUCUGCUCAGUCCAGUAGAAAAAGAACAAAAUUACAGAAUUCACUAUAUUUUCUCUUGAAGAAAAUGAAACAUUAUGGAAACAUCAUCUUGAAAGAAGGAGUGUAGGCAGAAUCCCACAUCGAGCCAUGCUAUACCAACCAAGAGAAAGAAGGGGCAUAGGAAGACCCAGAAUGAGAUAGUAAUGAAAAAUGAAGACUGAACAGUAACAAGAGCCUAAACCUUGAAGUGCAGAAGGAGAACACUGUAUUUGAUCACUGUAAAAUGUAAUAAUGGUUUUUUAGCUAGUUCACUCUUUGUGACAAAUGUUUAUGUAUAUCCACUUAUUGCCAUUAUUCUAUGGCUUUUACAAGCUUUCCCAGUUUUUAGGUAAUGUAAACAUUAAUUCUUCUUAUCUUCCUAAAAGA